UAAGGAAUAUUGGACAAUGGUCGCAAGACUGAUCCAGCCAUGCCGCGUGCAGGAAGACGGCCCUAUGGGUUGUAAACUGCUUUUGUACCAGAGAAAACCUAUCUACGUGUAGAUAGCUGAUAGUAUGGUAAGAAUAAGCAUCGGCUAACUUCGUGCCAGCAGCCGCGGUAAGACGAAGGAUGCAAGCGUUAUCCGGAUUCAUUGGGUUUAAAGGGUGCGUAGGCGGGCUUGUAAGACCGAUGUUAAAUCCCUGGGCUCAACCUGGGAAUGGCAUUGGAAACUGGGCAGCUAGAGUGCGGUAGAGGGCAGUGGAAUUCCAGGUGUAGCAGUGAAAUGCGUAGAGAUCGGGAGGAACAUCUGUGGCGAAGGCGACUGCCUGGACCAGCACUGACACUGAGGCACGAAAGCGUGGGGAGCAAACA
rnacentral:rRNA from 1 species